CCCUUCGCGCCUGCCUCAGGUGCCCCUUGACCUUGCGUCGAAGGGGUGAAACAGGGAAGCCGGUCCAUCCCCCAUGGGAGAUUCCGGCGCUGCCCCCGCAACGGUAGGCGAGUCGACAGCCGCAUUCGGCCACUGUGCACACGCAUGGGAAGGCGCGGCAGGGGAGCCAGGCUCCACUCGCAAGCCCGGAGACCGGCCUGGUGCAACCAGCGCAC
rnacentral:ncRNA from 2 species